CACAAAAGUCCAUUAUUACAUCAUGUGGAAUCCACUGAAGUAGUACAUAGCCUCACAAGUAAUUUAGUGAAGAUAUCAUGGAAAGUGUUAUUUGGGAUGUUGAAGAACUGGAAGUGAUCAACUUGCCCAUCAGUAGAAAGUGGGAGCUCACCAUUGAGGACCAUGCAGAAAGUGUAAUAAAGAAUUAAAUGUACAUGGCAACAUAAUUGUAUCUUGAAGUAAAAUCAAAAUGUAUUUAUAUAAAUUAAAAUAUAUAGUUACACCUUUAACCCUUUUCUAUCAUAAAGGUGUAGGAGA
rnacentral:lncRNA from 1 species